AGAUUUCAAAUACAUGAAUAUUUUUCGCGUUUAAGUUUACAUUAAUUUAAUAUGAUACGUUAAAUAAAAUAAUAUUUGAAACUAUUUUAACGGUACCAGCUAUUAAUAAUCUAUGUGACAUCAGUCUUAGACUACCUACCGUAAAUAUUUUCGGACUAAUUUAUCACCAUUAAUGAUAAUAAUAUCAAUUUAAUUAAUUAAUACCAUUCUAAAACUUGGAAUCUUCCUCUAUAAAGAACUAUAAAAUUUGAUAGUAUAGAGUUUAUAACAACCAUUUAAAAUCGGAUGAAUUAUUUUGAGUAACCUAUUGUGUAUCCUGACCUAGGCCUACGCAAUAGUUAUUCGUUAAACUCACGAUAUUUAUUCGUCAUGUUCGAUAAUCAAUUGGAUUGAAAUAACCGAAAUAAUAAAAAUAAACUAUCUAUAUAUUUUGAAAAUAUUCGAUGUAUCCGAUUAAUCGAUAUAUCGGCAUAGGCCUAUCUUAACCUAUUACCUAACUUUAU